rnacentral:rRNA from 1 species
GAUGAACGCUGGCGGCGUGCCUAAUACAUGCAAGUCGAGCGAACAGACGAGGAGCUUGCUCCUCUGACGUUAGCGGCGGACGGGUGAGUAACACGUGGAUAACCUACCUAUAAGACUGGGAUAACUUCGGGAAACCGGAUCUAAUACCGGAUAAUAUAUUGAACCGCAUGGUUCAAUAGUGAAAGACGGUUUUGCUGUCACUUAUAGAUGGAUCCGCGCCGCAUUAGCUAGUUGGUAAGGUAACGGCUUACCAAGGCAACGAUGCGUAGCCGACCUGAGAGGGUGAUCGGCCACACUGGAACUGAGACACGGUCCAGACUCCUACGGGAGGCAGCAGUAGGGAAUCUUCCGCAAUGGGCGAAAGCCUGACGGAGCAACGCCGCGUGAAUGAUGAAGGUCUUCGGAUCGUAAAACUCUGUUAUUAGGGAAGAACAAAUGUGUAAGUAACUAUGCACGUCUUGACGGUACCUAAUCAGAAAGCCACGGCUAACUACGUG